CUGUCAUUUUAGGCAUCUCCAUGUCCACCUGCCUUGACUUUGCUUUGGUCUGUGUGGAACUGCAGAAUGUUACAAAAUGGCAUUUGCAAAAAGAACAAGUAAACACAGGCUUAAUGAACUCACUUAUUUUGCUUCCUUUACUUAUGACUCAUAAAAUGAAAAUCCUUUAAUGUUGUAACACAAAUAAAUUGCCAUGUUGGUUGCCUCUCGACUGUACUGCAAGUAGGGAACAAGAAGGGCUGAGAGUGAGGGAUCAGGAAAAGGUGAGGAUGUGCUCAGCUCUCAUUAAGUAACAUUAUCCUGCUUCUUUUGGUUUUGAAAGGUGGAAAAGCAAGAGGUGAUGUCUAAUGCUCCCGGGCAGCAAACAAUGGGUGGGGAACGCUGAGCUGGGUGCAGCACUUGGCAAUCUUUGGGGUGCAGUGAUGAGGUGCCAGUGCUUGAUGGUAUGGAUAGAAGGGAACACGCCUCAGCCUUGUGACACGUGGGGUUAAUGGGGCAGAGCCACACCAUGUCCCUCUGAGGGGACCUGGGUGGCACUGCCACACCAGUGCCACAUCCCAGCUCUGGGCAGGAGAGGUUCCCUUCCUGGGCCAUCCAAUCCCUCAGCUGUUACAGCUCCUCAUAACCCACAUUUUGUGAACAACCACAACUCCCACAGUGAUGUCCAUUUCAGCCCAUUCCACACAGAAGCGGAAAAAUUUCUUCCUGAGAAGGAAUUAAUGCAAGAGAAGUGGAGAUCAGUAAAUGACUACAAUAAAAAUACCCUUCAGCUUUCCUUUUUAUUCUUCCAUAUUUUUCCAGCAGCUGCUUAAAAACUGGUAUUCAGCAAUAAAAUGACCUGAUAACAUUUAGGUCUUUGAGACAUAGAUAUUUUAUUUACUGAAAAAGUGUUACUAAACCACUUUACAAAAACAUUCACCAGGCUUUGCAGCACUUCCAGGAAAAUACAUACAAUUCCUCUUCUCUUUAUGCAAUCAUUGUUUGCUCCUGUUCAAGCUGACAGAUGGUAUGAAAAUUUUGCACUUGACAUCCAUAAUUGUCUUUCCCACAGGCGUGUGCUCAUCGAUGAUGUGCUCAUUGCAUCACCUCCUGACUUGGAACAUUUUUUUAAAAAGCUGUUUCACAUAUGAAAUCCUGGGAAAGACCUGUCUAAAGCACUGUGUCCAAGGAUGAAAAAUAAAUGAAAGCUCCAGUGGUGCCGUUACCCAGCAGAGCUGAUGGAUUGCACUCUCCUGUGGCUGCUUUCAGCUGCUGUGUCUCGUGAACCAUGCUGCUAAUUUCACAUCUCAGUUACUGCAAAAAUGCUAAAUAAAGGUU